UACAGAGGGUGCAAGCGUUGUUCGGAAUCAUUGGGCGUAAAGGGCGUGUAGGCGGUCUGUUAAGUCAUGUGUGAAAUCCCUCGGCUCAACCGGGGAACGACGCAUGAAACUGACAAGCUAGAGUACCAAAGAGGGGGGUGGAAUUCCAGGUGUAGCAGUGAAAUGCGUAGAGAUCUGGAGGAACACCGAUGGCGAAGGCAGCCCCCCUGGGCUAACACUGACGCUCAUGCACGAAAGCGUGGGUAGCAAACGGG
rnacentral:rRNA from 1 species